rnacentral:rRNA from 1 species
UUCCGGUUGAUCCUGCCGGACCCGAUCGCUAUAGGGGUAGGGUUAAGCCAUGGGAGUCGUACGCUCUCGGGAAGAGGGCGUGGCGGACGGCUGAGUAACACGUGGCUAACCUAACCUUGGGUCUCGGAUAACCCCGGGAAACUGGGGCUAAUCCGGGGCAGAUAAGGAGAUCUGGAACGACUCCUUAUCUAAAGGCCUCUCGGCUGAUCCCGUCGAGAGGUGCCCAAGGAUGGGGCUGCGGCCCAUCAGGCUGUUGGGGGAGUAAAGGUCCCCCAAACCUAUAACGGGUAGGGGCCGUGGGAGCGGGAGCCCCCAGUUGGGCACUGAGACAAGGGCCCAGGCCCUACGGGGCGCACCAGGCGCGGAACGUCCCCAAUGUGGGAAACCGUGAGGGCGUUACCCCUAGUGCCCUCGCAAGAGGGCUUUUCUCCACUCCAGAAAGGUGGAGGAAUAAGCGGGGGGCAAGACUGGUGUCAGCCGCCGCGGUAAUACCAGC